rnacentral:rRNA from 1 species
AUUGAACGCUGGCGGCAUGCUUUACACAUGCAAGUCGAACGGUAACAGGUCUUCGGCUGCUGACGAGUGGCGAACGGGUGAGUAAUACAUCGGAACGUGCCUAGUUGUGGGGGAUAACUACUCGAAAGAGUAGCUAAUACCGCAGGAGAUCUACGGAUGAAGGCAGGGGACCUGCGGGCCUGGUGCUACUAGAGCGGCUGAUGGCAGAUUAGGUAGUUGGUGGGGUAAAGGCUUACCAAGCCUGCGAUCUGUAGCUGGUCUGAGAGGACGACCGGCCACACUGGAACUGGGACACGGCCCAGACUCCUACGGGAGGCAGCAGUGGGGAAUUUUGGACAAAGGGCGAAAGCCUGAUCCAGCAAUGCCGCGUGCAGGAUGAAGGCCCUCGGGUUGUAAACUGCUUUUGUACGGAACGAAAAGCCUGGGGCUAAUAUCCCCGGGUCAUGACGGCACCGUAAGAAUAAGCACCGGCUAACUACGUG